CUGUGCUCACUGUGGCUGGGUGGUGAACCAGGAAGUGUCAGAAGCUCAUGACAAACAACAAAUCUAAGGAGACGGAUUCGUUUUUCAAGACUGAAAGCUGCUUGCAACAUUGGCUUGGAAAUGUUUUUGAGAAGAUGAUGAUUUCCUCCUCCCCGGUCUCAUGACUGGGGUAGCUGCAGCUGUGACCCCCCACAUUGCCUCAUGGCUGCACCCCCAGCAAGCUGCCAAGGGCUGGAAAGAGAGAGAAAAGUGUGUGGUGAGGUGGAGCCCUUUGGGUCAGCCUCCAUCGGCACUGGCAGGAGCAGCUCGGAAACUUGCACAGCUGCUGCCCGGGCUCGAUUUGGGCUGUGAAUAACUGGAGAGCUUUCCAUCACCAGGGCUGUCAGUUCAGUGUCCAAGCUGACUGAAAUGCAAAAUGAAAGCAACUGUGCAGCAUAAAUCAGAUGCUGGAAGUCCUUUGCAUGAUCUACACCCAGUGUCACCUCCACAGCUCCUGGACUCCAUGCUGAGGUGACCAACAGGAUGUGAAGCUGCCCCAACCCACCACUUCAGACCUUGGAAGAACAAAUUUCAAACCAAGAAAUGGCCUGAGCCAUCCAGUGCUCUUUUAGAUGAGAGCUCACCACUGCCAAGGGCAUUCCAGUACACAGGACAUGGACUGUCUACUCUGAUGACUUCUGAGGGAGAACAGGGCUUCUUGCAAAGACCCUUACACUGCAAGACGACUCCAACAGGGAUGAGCAUAUUGCCAUGGCAACCAAAAUACAGAAGCUGGACAAGAGUCAGUGAAAAGGGAAUCUUCCCGCACCUUUGGAAGCCUCUGCAGACCCUUCAUCACCAAGGCUUUGCCAGGAGGUCAAUAUGCUCUCAAAUGACUAAAAUCCAGGCUUGGGAUAUGGCUGGAGCAGCCCUGACCCUCCCCCUCCAGGAGCAGCUGCUACUGCACAUCAGGAGAGAGGAAGUUAGCAGGGAAACAUCGUGAAACUUCUGAAGGUGCUAAUUAAACAACUUUAAGUUAUAAACAUUUUUAAUUGGACUCAUUUUUGGUGUCACAUACUAUCUCUUGAUGAGACAAGAGCUAAAGCUAAAAUUAAAGCUGUUUUAAUCUCUCUUUCUCUGCUCCUCCUCUCUACCCUGGUUGUGUUUCUGGUUGCAAAGUAGAAAGAAAUCACUGAGGCUUCUGGGCUUUGCUGAAGAAUGCUAUUUUUAAGGUGUUAUAUUUGAUUUACUUUAAAUCUGACCAAGAAUUCCACCUUGGGACUAAACCUCCUUUAUCAAUGUUAUAGCUAACUUUCUGCUUUUGCAUGUAGAUUUUUAAGGAGGAAAAAAAUUGGGCUUGGAAGAGAUACUAGCUCACCACCUUAAUGAUGACAGCAGGUAUACUGCAGCAUACCACUGUCUCCUUGUCAUAAAUGAUACGCCAUCAUCU